UGGGUAACCUGCCUCAAAGAGGGGAAUAGCCUCCCGAAAGGGAGAUUAAUACCGCAUAAUAUGUUUAAGUCGCAUGACUUUAACAUCAAAGGAUUUUCUUUUAGAACUUCCACUUUGAGAUGGGCCCGCGGCGCAUUAGCUAGUUGGUGAGGUAACGGCUCACCAAGGCAACGAUGCGUAGCCGACCUGAGAGGGUGAUCGGCCACAUUGGAACUGAGACACGGUCCAGACUCCGUAGGGAGG
rnacentral:rRNA from 1 species